AUUGUCUACGGUUGCUUUUGUCUGAUAGCAGCCAAGUUUAGAAGAUGUGUCAAAGACAGUGUGGCAUGCAAGCUGAAAUAUCUGCUAUCUGACCUUUACAGAAAAAAAAAAAAAGGGAAACAGGCCAUCUAGAUUAUCUUUCUUUUUUCUCUGUUGGUGCUGCUCCUAUAUCAGGUUGUACUUUGGGACCAGAACAAAACGUCAUCCUGACAUGACUGGAAAGAGUAAACUUCUACCAGUUGCAAACAAGAGGCAGAAAGAGCCAAGCAGGAAAUCUCAGCUACCAAGUAGAGGAACUGAUUGAUUCCUGGGUCCGUGUUCUUUCAAGCAACCACAGCUGCCUCGUCAGAAGACAACCUCUGGAGCAGUGGUUCAAAACAUAGCUAUGCCAUGGAAUCACCUUUGCAUUUUUUCCCAUUUUUAUUGAGAAAUAAUUGACAU